rnacentral:lncRNA from 1 species
CUCAGGUCUUCAAAGUCGAUCUUCAUUUAAAAUAUAUGUUACAGAAGUUCCGAUUAACUCUGUUGAAUCAGCAGGGAAAACCUGAGGAGUGGAGGAGCGAGAAGGUAGAAGGAAUUGAACGAAAGGACUUAGAGGGGUAAAACACCCACGCUCCUAGGACCCUAGGUAGGGAAGAAGAAAGGUCCUAGGACAAUUUAGUGGUUUGGAAGAGAUUGUGAAAAAAAAAUCCUAAGACCAUUUAAUACGUAUAACCAGGUCAGGUGAUUUUUUUCACCCGAACCGAAUCCUAACACUUUUUUUUAUACAAAUAUUUAGCCUAAAAUUUUGUGUAUACCCAAUACUCGAUCACUUUGGAUAAGGUAUGAGUGAUUAUUUUUUACCCGAUUCGCAUAACUAGAGCUAUUCUGAAAUCAUUGAGAUUUAUUUUUGCAUAUCUUUUUCAUUUGUUUUGUUAUACUUAUAUUUCAGGGAUUUAAUUCCUAUAUAUAUGUAUGUGUAUGAGCCGGCCCCUAGAUUUUUCGUUGGAUAAAUAUAAUCAAAUAUGUUGUUUAAUUUUGCAAUGCAUGGAUUGGAGAAUAGAGAUCGAUAAACAGACAUUUGAAUAUGGGAGAGACAGAAGAGUAGAGAAGUAUAUGUUUGAAACAAAUAUAUAUAGCAGAUGGAAGGAACAUCAGGAGCGAUCAACUCUAGAUGGACGAUGGAUAGUAGUUAAUUAAGAGAAAAGACCCAAGGUGUCAAAGAUGGUGGUAUGGAGUGGAUCGCUGAGAUGAGUAGCCCAGUUGUUGAGAGGUCCCUUUCCAGUAGCCCAUGCUUGUACGGCGAAGCCAAGGAAUCCAAGCAUAGCCAGACGGGCGUGCUUGAUCUCAGCCAACUGAAGAACCUCCUUCUUCUCCGGAUCAGCUGCGAGGCCAAGUGGGUCGAAGAAUUUGCCUCCGGGGUAAAGUCUGUUUUCCGGGUCAAGCUCGGCAUUCCUUUGGAACUCGAUAUAUCCGAUGAUCAAUACCUCGAUCCAGACUAGCGCCGUGAUCGAGAAUGGAAGUGACUGCCCGAAGUACGAAGAUCCAUCCACCAACUCCACCUGUACAUAUAUAUAUAUAUAUGUAUACGGAAUCACGGAUCGAUCCUUCUUAAUUAAUUAUACAGAAUUACAGAUGCAUCAUAUAUAGGUAUAUAUGCUUAUAAAUUACCUUGCCGGCAUCUUGCCAGGUGACUCCGGUCACUGACUCCACGGUGAGUGCACCGAGAGUAGCUAACAUGGCCCAACGUCCGUGGAUCAGCUCACACUCCCUGAAUCGCUGUAGUCCGAACACCUCAGAGUAAGGCUGGAAAGGAGUGGAGCUAACGUCGGAGGUCUCGAACCGAGUGCCGAUCAAUUCACCGAAUUCGUUCUUUGCCAAGUUCUGGUCCAACGAAUCGAAGUCGUACUGGAGGUAUUCCGCGGAUUUUCCCAGACCGAAUGGAUCGAAACCAUAGUCACCGAUCAAAGUACCGUCCAACCACUCAGGUGCUUUGGCACCAGGGUACCACAGUGGCCUUUCGCUGCUGGAUCCUCCUCCCCUGGAUGGUUUCUUGGAUUUGGUUUUUUUCUUCAGGAAACCAAACCGUGCCUGGAACCGCCCGUUAUUGCCUGAUGAAUUCACCUCCGGAAGACGGCAUCCGAGGAAAUUGGAUGUCGCUGCGGUGGCGGUUGUGGUGGCCAUGGUUGUGUUCGAGUGGUGCUGUGAAUGAGGCAACGGGUGGUUAUAGUAAGUAUAUGGAAUCUGUAUGAUGAUAAAGGUGGUGGGGGAUGUUAUCUUAGAAUAUCAUUCUCAGCCAUUGGAUGGGUGGGAAAGUAUCCAUCUGACGGUAGACAAACCUUAUAUCUUAUCCUCUUCUUAUCUCUUUAUGCGAUUGUGUUAUGACGGGGCUUCUUCCUACGUUUCUAUUGGUCAACGACGAGACGACUUCUGAUGGGCUGCCAGCUGUGGCGUGUGGCCCGUGGUUCGUUGAAAAUUAUUCUGUUUGAGUGAGAAAUGUGACCUUUUCUUCUUCGAUUUUGCCUAUUUGGACUGGACUGAUGAUCAUAUCAGAGGUCCGGUCCAUAUCAGUCAGAAUCAUUUUUAUAUCAAUAUUAGUCAUUAGAUCUUAAAUUUUGGUAUUGUAUUACCCUGAGGCGCCUCUGACGUUUAUAUGUCAAUAAUUCAAUAUGAGCUGUCUGAAUGUAUUUGUGAAACGCUGAAAAAUUAAUUUACAUAACGUCUGUAAAUAAAAGAAUGAAAAGAAAACGUCUAAGACUUUAAAUUCUGAUGAUUGAUUCUAUUCACUCUUUAGGAGUUUCAGGCAGUUUCAGCUAAUAUUUGGCCUUUUGUAUGGCACAAAUCCCUUAAGCCUUUGCUGCCGAUUUGAAAUAGACUUCUGACUCUGAGAACUGAAAAGACGUUGUUUCCCUUGGGCAAGAUGGCACUCCAUGGAAUUAUGGUGGUUUACUUUUAUCUCAGUCUGCAUAGGCGAUGCAUAACUAAAGCUGCUUGUUGAACCUUCCUGAAUUUCUUUGUUAUGGGAACGCUCCUCGUUUGAUGCAUCGUAUUUCUGAUAUGAUGCAGGAGGGUGAUGCUGAAACCCCCCACCGUAAAAUGGCAUAAGGGGCACGAUAUUCUGAUGAAAUUGCAAAGCAUCUUGCUGCUGGGGAGGCAUGC